AGAGUUUGAUCCUGGCUCAGGAUGAACGCUGGCGGCGUGCCUAAUACAUGCAAGUCGAACGAAGUUUCGAGGAAGCUUGCUUCCAAAGAGACUUAGUGGCGAACGGGUGAGUAACACGUAGGUAACCUGCCCAUGUGUCCGGGAUAACUGCUGGAAACGGUAGCUAAAACCGGAUAGGUAUACAGAGCGCAUGCUCAGUAUAUUAAAGCGCCCAUCAAGGCGUGAACAUGGAUGGACCUGCGGCGCAUUAGCUAGUUGGUGAGGUAACGGCCCACCAAGGCGAUGAUGCGUAGCCGGCCUGAGAGGGUAAACGGCCACAUUGGGACUGAGACACGGCCCAAACUCCUACGGGAGGCAGCAGUAGGGAAUUUUCGUCAAUGGGGGAAACCCUGAACGAGCAAUGCCGCGUGAGUGAAGAAGGUCUUCGGAUCGUAAAGCUCUGUUGUAAGUGAAGAACGGCUCAUAGAGGAAAUGCUAUGGGAGUGACGGUAGCUUACCAGAAAGCCACGGCUAACUACGUGCCAGCAGCCGCGGUAAUACGUAGGUGGCAAGCGUUAUCCGGAAUCAUUGGGCGUAAAGGGUGCGUAGGUGGCGUACUAAGUCUGUAGUAAAAGGCAAUGGCUCAACCAUUGUAAGCUAUGGAAACUGGUAUGCUGGAGUGCAGAAGAGGGCGAUGGAAUUCCAUGUGUAGCGGUAAAAUGCGUAGAUAUAUGGAGGAACACCAGUGGCGAAGGCGGUCGCCUGGUCUGUAACUGACACUGAGGCACGAAAGCGUGGGGAGCAAAUAGGAUUAGAUACCCUAGUAGUCCACGCCGUAAACGAUGAGAACUAAGUGUUGGAGGAAUUCAGUGCUGCAGUUAACGCAAUAAGUUCUCCGCCUGGGGAGUAUGCACGCAAGUGUGAAACUCAAAGGAAUUGACGGGGGCCCGCACAAGCGGUGGAGUAUGUGGUUUAAUUCGA
rnacentral:rRNA from 1 species